GUAGCUUCCGCUGAUUAUUUCUCCAAACCGAUUAUUCUUCCUCUGUGCCCUAGCUUCUCUUUUGCUGCCGUCAACCAUCGUCUCUCUCGCCGCUUUCGGCACCGAUCGAAUAGUCUCUGGCCAACUUCAGGUACUUCACCAUUAAUGGAGUUUCUGAAUAAAAAAGGCACUCCAUGAAGCAAUUAGCUGAAACAUACCCUUCCGUCGUUCCUUGCUUCGAUCUCCAUCCUUGGUUUGUUAAAGAAUGAAGUCCCAAUUGGUUUAAAACGUUGAGAUAGUAUUUUGAUUCCACACCCUCUACUGCAGUUGAGAGAGUUUUUGCAGAUUGCAACAUUAUCAAUGGCUCUAUUAAGAGCUUUAAAUCUUAUAGCCAGGUAUUGCAUUUGAGUACACAACAAAAUAUGUUUCUAUCAUUCCUCAAUUACUUUUAUUAUAUUGUUGAUUUGCAAAAAUUGUACAUUCAACACUUUAGGUGCAACAUUAAGCUAGUACUUUUCUAUUUAAUAGAAAACAACAUGAUAUUACAUAAUUUAUAUUGUUGGUUCCAACUGCUGAAGCAUUCCUUGAUUCAUGAAUUUAAAUGAAUCAUUCACUUCGAAAUCAUUUCUUAUCUAUAUACACCUGUAGGAUGUUACUUUUUAUUAAUUGGAUUCAGAAUGAUAAUAUACUAAAAAUGAUGUUGCAUGUAAUGAAAUGAAUCUAGAAAAAGAACGAUAAUAAUAAUAAUAACAAAACAAUGACUCUAUUUUGAUGACCUUUAAAUAUGAAAUAGAAUGAAAUAUGUAAAACAAAAAGAUAUAAGUGCAUCAAUACUAUUGCCAUGAACUAUUGGUAGUAAGGAAAUUUGUUCAAUUUUUAUCACUCAUGGACUUUUGAAGAAGUAAAUAUAUGCUAGUAAAUUUCUUAUCAAAGGCUUAUUUCAGAUUUGUGUCCAUUUUGGAUGUUGCCCUCUUAAACCAGUUCAAGUUUGUGUCCAUUUAUUAUUCUAUAAGAGAGUUCAAAAUGAAAAACAUUUUUGUAUGUCUUCUAUUAGUUUCUCAAUUGAGUGAAAGAGUUGAAAAUUACACAAAUUAAUGAAUAUUUGAAGACUCUGAACUUGAUAACAGUUGCGGUCCAUUCACCACGAAAAUUGUAAUCAGCCCGACCAUGGUUAGAUGAUAACAACCCUCCUAGAAUAAUGUCAACAAUUCGGUAACGAUCGUGGUAAGCUCAUCACGGGCGUGGUCAAUUCAUGAGGGUUUUGGUCAACCAAGAGGGUUGUAAUCAAUCCACAACAACCUAAGACUUCAACAUCACUUUCGACAACGACCGUGGUGGAUUCACCAUGACCAUAAUAUGCCUUUUUGUGUAAUUAUCUUUAGGAAGCUAUAUAUAGUGGUCUUUGUCUUUAUAAAGGGCAUUCAAUUUUAUUCUUAUCUUUUUAUGAAUUUGAGAAAACCUUGAGGGCUUUUGAGAGCUGAAGAGCGCGAACAACACUGCUAGGACGGAUCAUAAACAUCAUUCCUGCCUAUUGGUAUGUCUAUGUUUACUCUUUAUAGGAUUGCUAGUUCUGCUCUGAUUAUGAGUGACCAAUCCCCCUUGUCCGGGGUUUAUGAUGUAAUUGCCCAUUUGUACUCAUUUCCUUGUUCUUAAUGAAAUUUCUCAUAAUGUUUAUUUGGAA